rnacentral:rRNA from 1 species
UAGGGAAUCUUCGGCAAUGGACGAAAGUCUGACCGAGCAACGCCGCGUGAGUGAAGAAGGUUUUCGGAUCGUAAAACUCUGUUGUUAGAGAAGAACAAGGAUGAGAGUAAAACGUUCAUCCCUUGACGGUAUCUAACCAGAAAGCCACGGCUAACUACGUGCCAGCAGCCGCGGUAAUACGUAGGUGGCAAGCGUUGUCCGGAUUUAUUGGGCGUAAAGCGAGCGCAGGCGGUUUCUUAAGUCUGAUGUGAAAGCCCCCGGCUCAACCGGGGAGGGUCAUUGGAAACUGGGAAACUUGAGUGCAGAAGAGGAGAGUGGAAUUCCAUGUGUAGCGGUGAAAUGCGUAGAUAUAUGGAGGAACACCAGUGGCGAAGGCGGCUCUCUGGUCUGUAACUGACGCUGAGGCUCGAAAGCGUGGGGAGCAAACAGGAUUAGAUACCCGCGUAGUCC